AAGUCGUAACAAGGUUUCCGUAGGUGAACCUGCGGAAGGAUCAUUAAAUGAAGCAACCUAGGAGCCUGAGAUAUGGCCACCGGGCACACCUUCCACCCUUUGUUUAUCACACUUUGUUGCUUUGGCAGGCCUGCCUUCGGGCUGCUGGCUCCGGCCGGCGAGCGCCUGCCAGAGGACCCAAACUCUGUUUGUCUGUAACGUCUGAGUACUAUAUAAUAGUUAAAACUUUCAACAACGGAUCUCUUGGUUCUG
rnacentral:misc_RNA from 1 species